UACCCCCAUCAUGCAUAUUGGGUGUCUCCACCAGUAUAUAUCUACUAGGCUUGUUCUAUGUAGGGUUGGAAAAUAAUCUUGGUUGUCCCGUUGAUACGGAGGAUACUUGGUUCGAUGAUGCCGGUGGGAUGACAUUAACUGACCUUCAAUCUUGGCACUGGAAUUGGCCAUUGUUUCUAACAUCCAAGAUGACUAAAUACUAAUAAUAUCUUUUUCAUUUAUAUUUUCACCAUAUAGUUGUGUUACAACAUGACAUCCACUCCC
rnacentral:lncRNA from 1 species